UGGGGAAUAUUGGACAAUGGGCGAAAGCCUGAUCCAGCAAUACCGCGUGUGUGAAGAAGGCCUGAGGGUUGUAAAGCACUUUCAAUAGGGAGGAAUACCUACUGGCUAAUAUCCAGUAGACUGACAUUACCUAUAGAAGAAGCACCGGCUAACUCCGUGCCAGCAGCCGCGGUAAUACGGAGGGUGCAAGCGUUAAUCGGAAUUACUGGGCGUAAAGCGUGCGUAGGUGGUUUGUUAAGUCAGAUGUGAAAGCCCUGGGCUUAACCUGGGAACUGCAUUUGAAACUGGCACACUAGAGUUGAGUAGAGGGGAGUGGAAUUUCAGGUGUAGCGGUGAAAUGCGUAGAUAUCUGAAGGAACACCAGUGGCGAAGGCGACUCCCUGGACUCAGACUGACGCUGAGGUACGAAAGCGUGGGUAGCAAACAGG
rnacentral:rRNA from 1 species